rnacentral:ncRNA from 1 species
CUUCGGGGCAGGGUGAAAAUCCCUACCGGCAGUGAUGGCGCGAGCCAAAGUCUGCGAGCAGGCGCGAGCCUGCCGAAUCGGUGAGAAUCCGAUACCGACGGUCAAAGUCCGGAUGGGAGAAGC